rnacentral:rRNA from 1 species
UACGGGGGGGGGCAAGCGUUUGUUCGGAAUUACUGGGCGUAAAGGGCUCGUAGGUUGCCAACUAAGUCAGACGUGAAAUCCCUCGGCUUAACCGGGGGAACUGCGUCUGAUACUGGAUGGCUUGAGUUCGGGAGAGGGAUGCGGAAUUCCAGGUGUAGCGGUGAAAUGCGUAGAUAUCUGGAGGAACACCGGGUGGCGAAGGCGGCAUCCUGGACCGGUAUUGACACUGAAAAGCGAAAGCCAGGGGAGCAAACGGG